CAACUGUUUCAACUCCAUACAA
rnacentral:miRNA from 1 species